AUGAACGCUGGCGGCGUGCCUAAUACAUGCAAGUCGAGCGAACAGACGAGGAGCUUGCUCCUCUGACGUUAGCGGCGGACGGGUGAGUAACACGUGGAUAACCUACCUAUAAGACUGGGAUAACUUCGGGAAACCGGAGCUAAUACCGGAUAAUAUAUUGAACCGCAUGGUUCAAUAGUGAAAGACGGUUUUGCUGUCACUUAUAGAUGGAUCCGCGCCGCAUUAGCUAGUUGGUAAGGUAACGGCUUGCCAAGGCAACGAUGCGUAGCCGACCUGAGAGGGUGAUCGGCCACACUGGAACUGAGACACGGUCCAGACUCCUACGGGAGGCAGCAGUAGGGAAUCUUCCGCAAUGGGCGAAAGCUUGACGGAGCAACGCCGCGUGAGUGAUGAAGGUCUUCGGAUCGUAAAACUCUGUUAUUAGGGAAGAACAAAUGUGUAAGUAACUAUGCACGUCUUGACGGUACCUAAUCAGAAAGCCACGGCUAACUACGUG
rnacentral:rRNA from 1 species